UACGGAGGAUGCAAGCGUUAUCCGGAUUUAUUGGGUUUAAAGGGUGCGCAGGCGGGGAUGUAAGUCAGUGGUGAAAAGCUGCCGCUUAACGGUAGUCUUGCCAAUGAUACUACAUUUCUUGAGUAUGGUUAAGGUAGGCGGAAUGUGCAGUGUAGCGGUGAAAUGCAUAGAGAUUGCACAGAAGGCCGAUUGCGGAGGCAGCUUACUGAGCCAUAACUGACGCUGAGGCACGAAAGCGUGGGGAUCGAACA
rnacentral:rRNA from 1 species